UUUUGGUUAUAGGUGCCUGAUUCCCUUGCUCUUACCCAAGGACCCUUUAGGGACCAACCACAGUGAACACAUGUACUGGGACUUGAUUAUUUUAAGGUUCUGCCUGCUUGAGGCCCCUGAAUUGAGGUGGUUAUGUUGGUCCUUCAUGAGGCAGAAUCUAUGUAGAAGGCUGGACUUCAAGUUUCUCUUGAAAUAAUCAGACCCCCAGAGGAAACUUAG
rnacentral:lncRNA from 1 species